UCCGCGUGUGGAGGUGCAUGUGGGGAAUGGAAAACCACGUAACUAAUCCCCUGCGUAUAAGAGAGAGAAAAGCUACAGACUCCUCGGACGAAGUGCUGUUGGGGGAGCUGGGAAGAGCGCACUUGCAUUCCAAACCGACUUUCCUUCUCCUUCAGGACCUUCACUGCUUUGUUGCCGAAUUUUAGAAAAGCGAGAGCAAGAUGCUGGAAUUUUUUCUACUGGGUUGCACAGGAGUCGUCGUGUUCCUCCACGGAGCGAAUUUCUUCUUCCACGCUCUCUCCAAGCACAUCGGGAUCCGAUCCUUAAGUUUCCUGGGAUUCGCUGGAUGGUAGAGGAAAAGGAGCGGGUGGGAGCUGAAAGGCAUUUUCGGAACAAGCAAAAGCAACGGCAACAUAUGUAAUUUGUAAAUACAUUAAAAGGCGUGAUUAGGUUUGAACGCAAAUAAUAUUCCAUUCCUCCUAUUUGAGAAGGUCCCGAGUCCAACGGGGUGGACCACAAGGUGUGGUCCACCCAGUGGAUAGAUUCAAGCUUAUUAAGUGCAUAUGACAUCCAACCGUUCCAACAGGUUGGUCCUACCAUGAUGAUCAUCUGGUGCAAAAAAGAAAGCCAUACCUAUUCAUCAGGUGGGCCACACCAUAGAAAACAAUGCCCAGCCAUUGAUAAAUAGCCAAAAACAUGAGCAUGGUUUGAUUUUUUUACAAGGUGAUCCCCCUGAUAGGGCCAACUUAUUGGACGGGUUGGAUCUUGCACAGACUAAAGGUAGAAGGUUAUCCGCUGGGUGGACCAGAGCUUAUAGUCCGACCAGUUGGACUCGAGACCUAAAUAUAUUUAGUAGAAAGUAUUUUGA